GUUAACAACUCCAUCUUUAUAAGUUUUUUUUUUUUAAAAUCUCCAAUAAUCCUCUCACUAUCACAUGAUCUGUAGGUAAAAAGGCAUGUCUUAUUUAUGUAAAGACUAUUAUGGUAACAAUAUGUCGAGAUCAUUAUGAGUAGGCCAAUAGUGAAAGAAAUUGGGCCAAAAAGACUUUAAAAAUUUAGGUUAGGGCGUCAGUUUAAGACAAAAUCUGAGUGAGGUGAAGUCUAGGCCAUCAAGGAAUGGGUGGUGGUGAUAUGUCAAGGUGAUUAUAUUUUCUAAUAGCCAAGACAUUAAGGAACCUAUAGCGGGUGUCGUUAUAACGGGUCAAAUUGUUAUAGCUGGGUAAGUCAAAAUUUUAUGCAGAGAAAGUCUCAAAACCUCCUAUGUUUGCGACAUUAUGUUUGGGUUCGAGGGAGAAAGUUAUAACGGGUCAAAUCAUUAUAGCAGGAUCAAGAAUAAGUCAAGACAUUGAACAAUGGAAAAGCUCGGGUUUUGUUAAAGUUUUAAAGAGGCUUGACUUAAGGUAAGUGAGAUUCUUGUUUCUGCACAAAAGUAAAAGUAAGAAGAGAGCCAAUCUUCUCUUGGGGAAGCUUUCAUCAGAGGUUGGAUGGAGCCAUUUUUUAUAAAAUCAAGGAACUCGAGAACAAGAGGAAGGAGAGAGCUCAGGUAGCAUACGAUAGGAGAAAGAAGAUUGAUAAAUCAUCUAAAUCUCGACCUUUUUCUUUGUUACAUUGUCUUUCUGAGUGGUGUAUUUUCAGUUUAGCAUUGUUUCUCCGACUCUUUUGUCCUUCAUUAUUUUCUUAAACGAAAUUAAAUCUGAAACUUUAAGUGAUCUUGAAGAAAAAAAA